rnacentral:rRNA from 1 species
GACGAACGCUGGCGGCGUGCUUAACACAUGCAAGUCGAACGGAAAGGCCCUGCUUUUGUGGGGUGCUCGAGUGGCGAACGGGUGAGUAACACGUGAGUAACCUGCCCUUGACUUUGGGAUAACUUCAGGAAACUGGGGCUAAUACCGGAUAGGAGCUCCUGCUGCAUGGUGGGGGUUAGAAAGUUUCGGCGGUUGGGGAUGGACUCGCGGCUUAUCAGCUUGUUGGUGUGGUAGUGGCUUACCAAGGCUUUGACGGGUAGCCGGCCUGAGAGGGUGACCGGCCACAUUGGGACUGAGAUACGGCCCAGACUCCUACGGGAGGCAGCAGUGGGGAAUAUUGCACAAUGGGCGGAAGCCUGAUGCAGCAACGCCGCGUGCGGGAUGACGGCCUUCGGGUUGUAAACCGCUUUCGCCUGUGACGAAGCGUGAGUGACGGUAAUGGGUAAAGAAGCACCGGCUAACUACGUG